GUGCUCACUUCGGCAGCACAUACUAACACUGGAACGAUUCAAAGAUGACCAGCAUGGCCCCCAAGCAAGGAUGACACACAAAUUUGUGAUGCACUCCAUGUGUUU
rnacentral:snRNA from 1 species